rnacentral:rRNA from 1 species
GACGAACGCUGGCGGCGUGCUUAACACAUGCAAGUCGCACGGAAAGGCCCUUCGGUGUACUCGAGUGGCGAACGGGUGAGUCACACGUGGCUGAUCUGGCCUGCACUUUGGGAUAAGCAUGGGAAACUGGAUCUAAUACCGAAUAGGACCACGCGCUCCAUGGUGAGUGGUGGAAGGCUUGUGCGGAGUGGGAUGGGCCCGCGGCCUAUCAGCUUGGUGGUGGGGUAAUGGCAUACCAAGGCCAGGACGGGUAGCCGGCCUGAGAGGGUGAGCGGCCACACUGGGACGGAGAUGCGGCCCAGACUCCUACGGGAGGCAGAAGUGGGGAAUAGUGCACAAGGGGCGGAAGGCUGAUGCAGCGACGCCGCGUGAGGGAUGACGGCCUUCGGGUUGUAAACCUCUUUCACCAGGGACGAAGCGUAAGUGACGGUACCUGGAGAAGAAGCACCGGCUAACUACGUG